rnacentral:snRNA from 1 species
GGAUGUGAGGGUGAUCUGGCUGCGACAUCUGUCACCCCCAUUGAUCACCAGGGUUGAUUUGACUGAUCUGGCUGGCUAGGCGGGUGUCCCCCUCCUACUGCACUAACCCAUGUGCGUCCUCCCGCGGCUGCAUGCUUGGUCGAAGAGGAUGACCUUCUCCUCAGAGGAGAGGACCGGUCUUUGGUCUUUGGUCAAAGGUAUACAAGUAGCUGCGCUCCCCUGCUAGAACCUCCAAACAAGUUCUCAAGAAGAAAGUGAUGAGCCAUGUCCAGUACUUCAAGCACAACUUUGUAAAGACAGACGUACAAGGAGUUUAUUGCAG